GAUCAGCUGAAAUGGAUGCCACAUCAAGCAAAGCAGGUGAAGGCAACGAAUUGAAUGAAUACGAGAUCAAAGAAGGUUGGAUCAUCACUGUCGCAUUCGUUAUGCUUUCCCGAUUUAGCAUCAUGCGAAAGUAAGCUGUCUCAUCUGGACUGUUAUUGAACACCUUCAUUCGCAUUUCAUUCCACAAAUUAAAACUAUAUUAUAUUUAAUGUUUGUUUAUUGCAAUUUCUAAUCUAUUAGAUCAAUAAUUAAAAUUAAUUACCUGUACGAAUGGAGAUCUCCUUAGAUUGAACAUAAAUUGAGGGAACAAAGAAAAAUUAGGGUUUAACGAAAAUGAAGUCGGAUCAUCUUUUCUGUAGUCGCCAAAUCUAGAACAUAGACGGAUCAGAUUUCUAUCUAACCACCUUGUUGCAUCGAAUGUUUCCUAACAAAAAUAUAAAAACGUAACAAAAACUAUUCCCUAUAACAAUUGAAUUAUAAUUUAUAAUUUAUAUACCUCGGUUUCCAUUUUAUAAGAUGUUAAUCUAGCCAUUACUACAGCAGCAGUCUCUUGAUCAAAACCUUGCAUUAAUUCCUGUAAACGAGAAUUAAAGAUAAAAAACACAUUGUAUUUUGUUUUUUACACAAUAAACAAGAGUAAAAAUAAUUUAAAUAUUUAAUAAUACCUCUGAAACUGCUGAACCCUCUAUCCAUCUUCUUGUAAUGGUAGUAACUCGAAGCUUUGAUUGUCCAUCAAUACUUUGGUAGCUGAAUCAAUAUUCAGUUAUAGCAAUUUUCAUGAGUGUAAUAAGGUAGAUUUUUCUAUAUACAAUGUCUAAUUUAUAUACCUUGUAAGUGUUUGUAUAUACAAUUGUGGAUUUAAGUUUCCAGAAUGAUCUGGUUUAUCACUUGAAGAAAUGUCAAAUAAAACAGUCAAACAAGUGUCGUUAUCAAGUCCACACAGCUUCCAUGCAUUAGUGUUCCCUUGACCAAUUGUUGUGCUUGCAACAGCAGGUCCUUUCUGCAUUUUUUUUUAAAAAACGUUACAAUAUUUUUAAAGAUAAUAUUAAAAGUUAUAAAAUUUAGUAAAACCAAUACCUUCUCAAGAGAUGUGCAAGGUCCAAUAAUCCCUUGAAUUUUUAUAUCUUUUGAACAGUUCAUCUCAAGUGUGCCACUGCAAGUAAUAAACUAGUUAUGAAUUUAAUAAGAUAGAAAAAAAAAAAAACGUGUCAUUUACUUAUCUUGACAAAAAGUUUUCUGAUAAUAAACUAUUUUCAAAUGAAUAUGUGAAGGAUGAAAUACUCACUUAUAAGAAAGACCAAGAGAAUCUUCUCUGUUUUCAAAAACACGUUUAAAUGAAUCUUUAAAAACCGAAUGACCAAAACUUUCUGAUAGAACAACAAGGCCUCCAGUUCUUUCAAUAAUAACCUUCAUCUCUGCAACCCCAACCUAAUAACAUAAAUUGCAUUAAAUGCUAAAGGAUAUGAACAAAAAAUUACAUUUUUAAUGUGAAUGAGUUUUUUUAUAGAAUUAAAGAAACAUUUUGUUGCAUGAAUGUAAAGACUAGGGUAACCAUUUUCUACCUGAUCUAGUGCAGAAGCAAAAAGGUCCAAAACAUGACCCUGGCUAACCAUCUGCUUUGAAAGUUCCUCAUAAAAAUUGACUGCUUUUCUAAAGUAUAAUGCUGAAUCUUUAUCUAAAUCUUUAUGCGAUCGAACUGGAUCAGAUAAAUCUUGUGAGACAAUCUGUCAAAAUCCAAAUGCGAAAAAAGGUUAAGAUCUUGUGAGAUAAAAAUGGCAACGGAAACCAUCCAUUUGAAUGAAAUGUGAAAACAGAGUUUUUAUUGAGCGUCAAUGGCGUAUUUGCGAUCGGAAGGGAAGAAAAAAGUAGCAGAACUUACAGAACCAUUGCCUUCUGUGCAUGGCCCACCAACCAGAGCCACUAUACGACCACCAGUUCCAGGCGAACAAGCACAAAUCAAACCUGCUGCAACACUUAAUGCGACACCAGUGCAUCUCAACGAUCGAUUACCAGGUGCAACAGGCCAUAAAUCGACACCCAAUUCUUCUAAUCGCUAAAUUAUGAGUUUUCGUAAGAAUGGAGGAAUCAUAGCUGUUGAAAUUUGAAUAUAAUUUAGAUUAUACUCACCGAAUGGAUUAUGUAGGCGCCUUCGGAAGCAGGCAACAAAAACCUGGAAACCCCUGAAUUUGGAAACCCUUGUCCUUGUCCUUGUACUACCCCCUUUUGAAAACCCGGUCCACCACCCAUUCUCCGGCCAUUGGCAACGCCGGCGAGGAGUCCUAGUUGAUCGAGUACAUCCUCUCUUGUCAUCUCUUUGGAGCCUUGAAACACAUAAACCUUGGAGAUAUCAGCGUAACCCAAUUCAUGGACCUGAACCUGCGUCCCGAAGGAAACAAAACCCACCAAAGCAUUUUCCGGUAUGAAUUCAAGUGCUUGUUGUAAUGCCAAUUUGGCAUACUUUAAUUCCUCCUCAAUCAUACACGUGUCGAGGACGAAUACGUAGACGGGUUGAGGAGGGUUAAGACGGGUGUCGGGAUUGGGGACGGCGUAUUCGACGGUGGUGUAUUGGGGGUAGAGUUCUGCGGGGACAUUGGUUUCGGAAAUACCGGAGUAGUGGUGGGGGAAGUGGUUGCGUUGAAAGCAGAAUGGGCAGAUCCAAAUCAGGGCAGAGAAGUCGACACGGCAGAAAGGGUUGAGAACGGCGGAGCAGGUCUUGCAUCGGAGAGGCGCGUAAGGAUUGUUGGGUAUGUGUGGGUGAGGACGGAUCGGAGAAAUCGAAGCGGCGAUUGGAAUGACGCACUUGCUUGCUUCAACUUUUGUGCGAGGCCAGGCGUUCCAGGUCAUACGAACACCAUCGAUUCCCUCUGGAUCUGUGUUAGCCAUUUCCGUCGACAUCUUCAAUUCUCUCUACAAUCUCAACCUUUUUUUUCCUAAUGAUUGAUAAACUGAAUUCUGACGACCCCUUUAGGAAGAACAGAGAAGAGGGGUCAUCAAAUCAGGUGAAUCGAGGCUCUCAAAUGCACAUCGAUUUGUAGGAUGGUGUUUUUUCAAUUGAAUUUGAACCAAUGGAUGAAACAGCUUCUUUUGGUUCAUUUUGGAAAGAAUCAUAUCAUCUACACGAUUGAGAUAACAUGCCGGAUUGGUAGGAUGGGUGAGACAAUUAUCCAUGCCUCUCGUAAUAUUUUCAAUUCCAUUCAUGUUCAUCUGAUCGUUCAUUUGUUUAUAUUGAUUAAAGGUGACAUAUCAAUGACAAGUAAUCAUGGGUGGCCAAAGACGUAUCUGCAUGGAGGGGUAUUUCUAAAAUAUGGUUUUUUUAUUAAUUAAAAAUAUGCUUUGAUUUUUUUUUUUUUGUUAAAAUAGGCCGAUAUAUGCAUGUUUUACAAGAUAAAAUAAUAUAACUUAAAUAUUGAUAAAUUUGUAUGAUACAAAUAACUAUAUGGUUAUUAUUAAUUUCAAAAAAGCAUGAAUAUUAUAAACUUUACACGAAACACAGAGUGAACAAUUUUCAUUAAACUAAAUCGGACACGCUAUGGAAUUUCAAUUCAUUAAUAAUUGCGUUCCACAAACCAAACACAAUCAUUAAUUUAUUUUAAAGCAAAGCUCCUACAAAAAAAAAUUACUUAAGAAAAAAAAAUUGCAAUAUUUUGUUCCACCCAAUAACAUCGUUCUUAAUUUGUCCGUUUGCACUAAAAAUGUAAAUGUAAGGUAGUGUUUUUUUUUGUCUGCAGAUCUGCGUGGCAUCUUCUGUCCGUGCCGCUCAGACCACGCGCAAACAUUAGCAUUCGCAGACUGUUUGUUUUUUUGAAGACUGCAGACCUAAAAAUGUAUGUGCGCCCUCUUCUUAGCGCAGAUGUGGACCAGAGUCUUCUAACAUAUUCAAACAUCUUCUAGCCUAAAAAAACAUAUACAUCUUUAUUUUUUUAAUUUUUUUUUAAUUUAUAUUUUUUCCAACUUUAUUAAUGAUAAGCAAUUUGAAAAAAAAAAUUACAAAACUUAAAAAAAAAACGUUCGACGAUACAAACAUGAUAUUUUUGACAAAUUUAUAAAUAAAGAUUUAUUACAAUAAUAAUCGUUGAAGUUUUUUAUAUAAAUAUGAAAAAAAAAUUAUAAUAUAUUCUUAUAUUUUUUUGCCAAAUUUUGUAAAAUAUUAUUUAAUACAGUAUCAUCAAUUUCUCGAGAAAAUAUUUAUAGUACAUUUUUAAUGGAUUUAAUUAUAACUUUGAUCACUGAUUAUAAUGUUUAGUUAUAACUUUGCAACCAAAGUUAGUUUUUAUCAUAUAUAUAUAUAUAUAUUAAUUCAUACCAUUUUUAUUUUUAUUUUUUAUACAAUAAUACAUAAAAGUUGAUCUAAUUAUAACUUUGAUCACUAAUUAUAAUGUUUAGUUAUAACUUUGCAACCAAAGUUAGUUUUGAUCAAAUAUAUACAUUAAUUCAUACCAUUUUUAUUUUUAUUUUUUAUUCAAUAAUACAUAAAAGUUAAUCUAAUUAUAACUUUGAUCACUAAUUAUAAUGUUUAGUUAUUGUCACACCCCAAAACUGGAACGGCGGAAACGUUCGGGGGUGGAGGACGUCAUGUACGGUAUCACAACCAUGCAAAGUAGUAAACAAGCAACAACAUCAUCGAUUGCAUUAAUAAUAUAAUUCCAUAUAAGUGUGUUCUGACAUGCUAUAUAGACACCAAAAAUAUACAUCCAAAACAAAAGAGGAGUCCUGAACGAGCUUCAUCUUCUCAAAAACCUGGCUCCGGUACCUGUCUAUUGGUGCCUUGAGAAUACAAGUUAUUUUGAAAGGGAGUAUCAGCUUUAAAGCUAAGCUGGUGAGAUCAUAAGUAUAUUAGUGUCAAUGUUUGUAUGAAAGCAUUUGUAAGAUGUUUGUAAGAUGUAACGUAUAAGUUUUGUAAAGUUGGUAUUUGUUUGAACACUCCUAGAAAACCCUACGUUUCCUACUAAAAGUAGUCUUCUCCCAAGGCAUCUAGUAUCUGUGUGUGUGUCUCAUGUAAGAGUGUGUAUUUUCCCAAAUCCGACUAUCA
rnacentral:lncRNA from 1 species